rnacentral:rRNA from 1 species
AGCGAACGCUGGCGGCAGGCCUAACACAUGCAAGUCGAACGAAGUCUUCGGACUUAAUGGCGGACGGGUGAGUAACACGUGGGAACGUGCCUUUAGGUUCGGAAUAACUCAGGGAAACUUGUGCUAAUGCCGAAUGUGCCCUUCGGGGGAAAGAUUUAUCGCCUUUAGAGCGGCCCGCGUCUGAUUAGCUAGUUGGUGAGGUAAAGGCUCACCAAGGCGACGAUCAGUAGCUGGUCUGAGAGGAUGAUCAGCCACAUUGGGACUGAGACACGGCCCAAACUCCUACGGGAGGCAGCAGUGGGGAAUCUUGCGCAAUGGGCGAAAGCCUGACGCAGCCAUGCCGCGUGAAUGAUGAAGGUCUUAGGAUUGUAAAAUUCUUUCACCGGGGACGAUAAUGACGGUACCCGGAGAAGAAGCCCCGGCUAACUUCGUGCCAGCCGCCGCGGUAAAAC